rnacentral:misc_RNA from 1 species
CCGAAUUGUCAACACGAGUUGUUGCUGGUCCUCAAACGGGGGCAUGUGCACGCUCUGUUCACACAUCCACUCACACCUGUGCACCCUCUGUAGUUCUGUGGCCUGGGGGCUCUGUCCUCUUGCCAUGGUACUAUGUUUUUACACACACACCGUUAUAAAGUCUCAUGGAAUGUACAUAGCGUUUAACGCAAUACAAUA